rnacentral:lncRNA from 1 species
CAUGGGCAUGCCUUUAUCUUGCUCUACCUCCCCCAGAACCACAAGAUUGCCCUCCCAUUGCAUCUGUCCUGGUGCAGGUGUCGGGCACUGCAGUGAGUACUGUGUUCCCUUUACACAGUUGGAGAAACAAAGGCUUAGACAGAUGGAGUCAUGGACCCAUAGAUCUAAAUGAGAGCUGUUUGACUGUAGAGCCUAUGUUGUGCUAAAGCUAAGUAUCUUUCCUGGUUGCCUUCUAGUAAUUAAGAGUGUUUGGAACUCUCAAGGAAGCAGAAUUAAUACAUUGCUUACAUCAUCUCAUUUGACAAUCAUUGUGACAGUCCUCUUGGAUAAGGACUGUGUGUGUGUGUGUGUGUGUGUGUGUGUGUGUGUUUGUGUGUGUGCAUGCAUAUGUGUGUGC